rnacentral:lncRNA from 1 species
GCUUAAGCUGCCCUAAGAUUGCUUUGAUGCUGAGUGAGGCUCCAGGGCACAGGUUCCCUCCUGGGCUGCAGCAGGGAUUCUCAUAGCGUGGGAAAGAAGCAAGCUGCCGGCAUUCGACCCGGGGAUUUAU